UUUGGUGGUCAUAGCGUGAGCAAAACACCCGGAUCCAUUCCGAACCCGGCCGUUAAGUGCCACCGCGCCAAUGGUACUGCGUCUCAAGACGUGGGAGAGUAGGUCGCCGCCAA
rnacentral:rRNA from 1 species